GGUAGCGAGAGUAGCGACGGUAGCGACGGUAGCGACGGUAGCGAGAGUAGCGACGGUAGCGAGAGUAGCGAGGGUAGCGACGGUAGCGAGAGUAGCGACGGUAGCGAGAGUAGCGAGGGUAGCGACGGUAGCGACGGUAGCGAAGGUAGCGAGAGUAGCGAGGGUAGCGAGGGUAGCGAGGGUAGCGGAGGUAGCGAGAGUAGCGACGGUAGCGAGAAUAGAGAGUUUUAGCAAGGAGUACGAGU